UACGUAGGGGGCAAGCGUUGUCCGGAAUCAUUGGGCGUAAAGCGCGUGUAGGCGGCCAGGUAGGUCCGCUGUGAAAACCCGAGGCUCAACCUCGGGACGUCGGCGGAAACCAUUUGGCUAGAGUCCGGAAGAGGAGAGUGGAAUUCCCGGUGUAGCGGUGAAAUGCGCAGAUAUCGAGAGGAACACCUGCGGCGAAGGCGGGUUGCUGGGCUGACACUGACGCUGAAGCGCGAAAGCUAGGGGAGCGAACGGG
rnacentral:rRNA from 1 species